AUUUAUUUCGGUAAAUUCUUAGUGGCGAACGGGUGAGUAACGCGUAGGCAACCUGCCCUUUGGAUGGGGACAACAUUCCGAAAGGAGUGCUAAUACCGAAUGUGAUCCAUUUCUCGCAUGAGAGAUGGAUGAAAGAUGGCCUCUAUUUAUAAGCUAUCGCCAAAGGAUGGGCCUGCGUCUGAUUAGUUAGUUGGUGGGGUAACGGCUCACCAAGACGAUGAUCAGUAGCCGGUCUGAGAGGAUGAACGGCCACAUUGGGACUGAGACACGGCCCAAACUCCUACGGGAGGCAGCAGUGGGGAAUCUUCCGCAAUGGACGAAAGUCUGACGGAGCAACGCCGCGUGAGUGAUGAAGGUUUUCGGACUGUAAAACUCUGUUGUCAGGGACGAAGGUGCGAUCUGCGAAUAGUUGAUCGUAUUGACGGUACCUGACGAGGAAGCCACGGCUAACUACGUGCCAGCAGCCGCGGUAAUACGUAGGUGGCAAGCGUUGUCCGGAAUUAUUGGGCGUAAAGAGCAUGUAGGUGGGCUUUUAAGUCCGAUGUGAAAAUGCGGGGCUCAACCCCGUAUGGCAUUGGAUACUGGAAGUCUUGAGUGCAGGAGAGGAAAGGGGAAUUCCCAGUG
rnacentral:rRNA from 1 species